CGACACACGCAGUGCUCCUGGAGAUAAUCAAGGAGGAAGGCCUCCUGGCACCAUAUCGAGGAUGGUUUCCAGUUAUUUCCAGUCUCUGCUGCUCCAAUUUUGUCUAUUUUUACACUUUUAAUAGUCUCAAAGCAGUGUGGGUCAAAGGUCAACGUUCUUCCACAGGAAAAGAUCUGGCGAUUGGAUUUGUAGCAGGUAACAAAGCUUUCUGUGUGUAAAAUGUGUGUCUAUUUUAAUGGUGAUCCGUGAUUCAUGUGUCCUCUCAGAGAUGAUUUUAGCACCCAGUGAUGCUGCAGAGAAUGUGACCAGGCUUCUGACAUGUCUUCUUAAUGUGAUAAUAAAAACACAUGGCAUACAAUUUGCCGCUAGCCAUUUUAAGAUAAUACUCAGCUGUAUGAAUCCAUCACGUUGUGUGAAUCCAUUCAUCUGCUAAUGGACACUUGGGUGGCAUCCAGCACUUACUGUUGUGAACAGUGCUUCAUGAACAACCUACUCCCAUGGGCAGGGCAUCUUAAAAGAUGCCCUGGGCUGGGGAUUUAGCUCAGUGGUAGAGCGCUUACCUAGGAAGCGCAAGGCCCUGGGUUCGGUCCCCAGCUCCGAAAAAAAGAACAACAA
rnacentral:lncRNA from 1 species